rnacentral:rRNA from 1 species
GGUACGACUCUCAAAAAUGGAUAUCUCGGCUCUUGCAUCGAUGAAGAAUGUAACAAAAUGCGAUACAUGGUGCGAAUUGCAGAAUCCCAUGAAUCAUUGAGUCUUCGAAUGCAAGUUGCACCCGAGGCCAUCUGGCCGAGGGCAUGCCUGCUUGGGCACCAACC